rnacentral:tRNA from 1 species
GGAAUUUAGCUCAGAGGUAGAGCGCUUGCCUAGCAAGCACAAGGCCCUGGGUUCGAUCCCCAGCUCCG